CGGCGCUGGGCCGGGCGGGGGCAGUGGCGGCAGCGGCCCAAGUUCGGGACAACACUGCCCCCUAGGGGCUGCCACGGGAGGUUUGCAGCUGGGGCGGCGAGGGGUCUGGAGGUUUGGGUCUAGCCCUGGGACCAGGCACUUUACUUUGGCCCACUGUGUUUCACUGGCCAGCGGAGCCGGGGAGUACCUGGGCGGGGCUACCGUGAUCCCCUGGCAGACCACUGACAGGCCAGAGGAGAGCCUUCAAGUGCCAGUUCAGGGAGCUGAGGAGAUACGGUAGUAGGAUGUUCUGUCCUGGUGACAUUGCAUGUGACUUCUGGAGCCUGCCAUGCUCCCUGGGCUCACACAAGCCAUCGGUCAGGUCCUGCCCGGCCUUGGGGACACUGAGGUGUGGUCAAACUCAAGACAUAGGAGACUUUCCCUCCAGCUGCAAUCUACCCACUUCCACCCUAUCCACACGAGGCUGGUUGCAUAGGUCAAAGCCUGCUGCUAUUUUCAUUCAAGAUAACCUCAGGAACAAGCUGUAAUGUCCCAGCUACUGCUGGUUCUUGGUGUUGCCAAAAGUGGAAGCUGAACAAGAAGGCUCUGUUUCACCAGGUUACUGGCUUGAUUCCUUGGGUAGUGGGGAGGAAGGAGAAAGAUCUAAAC
rnacentral:lncRNA from 1 species